rnacentral:tRNA from 1 species
AAAAAAUUAGUUUAUAUCGAGUAAAACGUGUGUUUUUCAAGCACAAGAAGAGACCAUAUUCUCAUUUUUUC